GCCCCGGGGUCAUCCACAACUCCCACGAAAGGAGCUUCCCAAGAGGAGUUUGUUUUACCCGGAAUGGGCUGCUGGAAUUAAUAGAUUACAGAAAGUAAACUUUUGCCCAUUGUUUAUUGUGCUUUUUUUAACCAAAGCUUGCAUUUGUGCUUCGCCCGGUCUAUUCCAGCACAGCGCUGCUCUGCCUUUUCAAGUGCGGGACAGAGAAUUGCUGAGGAUUUCUCCCCUCUGGAGCUUCGCGAAUAUCUAUGGCUUGCUACCUGCUAGCGGAAAACGCAAAGUUGCCCAGCUAGGAGAUGGCGCCAGGUUCCUUUGCUCUGGCGCUGGGUGCACCGCUCCGCCACCCACUGCCACCGUCUCCAUCGAGAAUCUCCUCAAAAUCAAGGGAGUUCUUGACUGUGCCUCUUCAAGUUGGAAGGCGGUUGACUUUGCCGGGAACCUAGUACGUGAGCGCCAAACGUGGAGUCGCAGAGCGCAGAAGUGAAGAUUUAAUACAAAAGAUGAAACUUGUAGGAUGACCUCUAGCAGCGCUACUCGCAGCUCUGAAAUCGAUCCGGAGCAUUCCAAGAUUGCAUCAAUGCCGGAGAUCAAAACAUAUAAAGGAUGCAGAUGACACAAAGCUGGGAGACAUUGCCAAUAAAAACAAAGAUAGAAUCCAGAAUGAAAAUGAUUUGGUAAUCUCUUCAUUCCUAUUGAAAUUCAACAGGAAUUUAAAGCCCAGCCUGUAUGCUAAAAACAUCAAACACAUAGAGAAGAAAUGCCUUGGCAACUCUUUCACAGGAGGGGACAUCUGUGUUUAUACUGAUCGAUGAUGUGAUAAUGUUACAACACAUUUAAUAUGGUCUUAAAUUGUUUCAAAAGAAACACGGAUUCAGGUUUACAUGAAGUAAUAGAUUCAGAAAAUAUGCUGCUACUCAGACCGUAUCUGAAUUGUUUUGUUAAAUUAUCUGUUAUAUUUUUGGGUGUAUAGUGUCAAAAUCUGUCUCUGCAGAGGAAGCUAGCCAGCAUUGCGUGAGAAUCUAAAUAUCAUGUCAUAUAUGGAAUAGUUGAAGAGUCUCUUUCACCAUUACAAAUAACAUGACACAUGCACUAAUUUUCUGAAAUAUGAAUAUGUAAAGAUUCCAUGGUUGAAUAAAAGCUAAUCAAAAUGAAAGGGUUUCUUUACUAUAGGACACCUCAGUAAAAUCAAAAUUUUGAUAAAGCGCUUGAUGACAUUUUAAGCAGUUGAUAUAAAGAAGUAUUUUCCCAUAUUAUUGAACCAUGGAAUUCCAUUGAACAUUUUUUUUUCAACUCUGGUCAAAAAAAUAUAUACUGUAAGAAGAAAUGAUGGUUAUAGAGGAAGUAACAAAUUUGUUCUAUGCCCUGUUUCAAAGGGAGAAUCAGGCAAUUUUAGGUUCAAUUUAAGAAAAAUAAAAGAUCUUUACAAUUGUAUUCGAAAAGACUUACAUCCUACAGGUAGGAUGUAAGGAGAAUCCACAUGCAGCUGAGAUUGGGUGAGAUGACCUUUGAAGUUAAUGCCAACACUUUCAAAGUAAUAAACUUUGCUCCAGAAAGCA